GCUCAGGACGAACGCUGGCGGCGCGCCUAACACAUGUUAGUCGAACGGAGCUGAGAGGAGCUUGCUUUUCUCAGCUUAGUGGCGAACGGGUGAGUAACGCGUGAGUAACCUGCCCUGGAGUGGGGGACAACAGUUGGAAACGACUGCUAAUACCGCAUAAGCCCACGAUCCGGCAUCGGAUUGAGGGAAAAGGAUUUAUUCGCUUCAGGAUGGACUCGCGUCCAAUUAGCUAGUUGGUGAGGUAACGGCCCACCAAGGCGACGAUUGGUAGCCGGACUGAGAGGUUGAACGGCCACAUUGGGACUGAGACACGGCCCAGACUCCUACGGGAGGCAGCAGUGGGGGAUAUUGCACAAUGGGGGAAACCCUGAUGCAGCGACGCCGCGUGGAGGAAGAAGGUUUUCGGAUUGUAAACUCCUGUCGUUAGGGACGAUAAUGACGGUACCUAACAAGAAAGCACCGGCUAACUACGUGCCAGCAGCCGCGGUAAAACGUAGGGUGCAAGCGUUGUCCGGAAUUACUGGGUGUAAAGGGAGCGCAGGCGGACCGGCAAGUUGGAAGUGAAAACUAUGGGCUCAACCCAUAAAUUGCUUUCAAAACUGCUGGCCUUGAGUAGUGCAGAGGUAGGUGGAAUUCCCGGUGUAGCGGUGGAAUGCGUAGAUAUCGGGAGGAACACCAGUGGCGAAGGCGACCUACUGGGCACCAACUGACGCUGAGGCUCGAAAGCAUGGGUAGCAAACAGGAUUAGAUACCCUGGUAGUCCAUGCCGUAAACGAUGAUUACUAGGUGUUGGAGGAUUGACCCCUUCAGUGCCGCAGUUAACACAAUAAGUAAUCCACCUGGGGAGUACGACCGCAAGGUUGAAACUCAAAGGAAUUGACGGGGGCCCGCACAAGCAGUGGAGUAUGUGGUUUAAUUCGAAGCAACGCGAAGAACCUUACCAGGGUUUGACAUCCUGCUAACGAAGUAGAGAUACAUUAGGUGCCCUUCGGGGAAAGCAGAGACAGGUGGUGCAUGGUUGUCGUCAGCUCGUGUCGUGAGAUGUUGGGUUAAGUCCCGCAACGAGCGCAACCCCUAUUGUUAGUUGCUACGCAAGAGCACUCUAGCGAGACUGCCGUUGACAAAACGGAGGAAGGUGGGGACGACGUCAAAUCAUCAUGCCCCUUACGUUUUGGGCUACACACGUACUACAAUGGCGAAAACAAAGGGCAGCGAAACCGCGAGGUGGAGCCAAUCCCAUAAAAAUCGUCUCAGUUCGGACUGCAGGCUGCAACCCGCCUGCACGAAGCUGGAAUUGCUAGUAAUCGCGGGUCAGCAUACCGCGGUG
rnacentral:rRNA from 1 species